CCCACCGAGAUGAGGCUGAGAGUGAUUUUCCACCUGUGGCUCAGAGGCUUCUUGGGCUGGCUGUUUGAGUGACGCUACAGCUAUUUUGCAGCCUGAAGUAGCCACUUAAAUAACGUUCUAUCGCAGCUACGAGGCCGUCUGGACCGGCUGCCUGUAUGACACUACAUCACAGAGCAGACAGACCCCAGGGAGAGCCUGAGCCCCUGCUUAUUUGCCUUCUGACUGUACAAGUGCUCUCAUGUGGAUGAAUCUGAUGAUUGCAAGCGAAAGAGUUGAAAGAGUUUUCGAAAGAGAACUUGGUGAAGGACGUGUCUUUCGAAGAUGCCCAAGCAGGAUUCACUGCGACUGAGAGGACACUGAAAACUGCAGAGAUUUUCAAACAACAACAGCGCAUCAGCCAUGUUUACCAUGCCCUGUGCUUAUAAACUCAGAACUAGCCCCAGGAUGGUCACUACAGUGUUGGAUCAAGUCCUGA